rnacentral:misc_RNA from 1 species
GGCAAGCUCCCAUCCAGUAGGAUCAAAAUCUUUUGGCUGAGCAGGAUUUGAGUCGAACGGUGUUGUCCCAGAUGGAACUAUCGCCAAAGCCAAAGCAUUGCUGUCCUCAAUUGCUGAUGCAUAACCACUUGGUGCAUUUAGCCCCAGUAAAUCAUCAGAUUCCAAGCUGCUUGGGGGUGGAGGCAUUGGCGGGGAAGGAGCCUCAGUGGUUGAAACAACAGCAUCAUCUAAAGGCAGAGGAGGAGGGGUUUCGUUAGCUGAAUCUUGAGCAUCUUCAGAAGCUGAAGGUUCAUCCUCUUGUUUAUACGUAAGCAUAAGCCUCUCCGGAUAAUCCAGAGUUUCAAUUGGCACAGAGACAAUCCGGGGUGCUUCUUUUAUAUACUCUUCCAUAGUCACAAGGAAGGACUGAGGAGGCUCUCUCAAAACAGGAAACUGAAAGUUCCUGGCAAGUUCCAAUCCUUUGCAUACCCCAUAAAAGUCAGAGAGGUUCAUGGCCUGUUGGCCAGCUCGUUUGUAGAUAUCAAGGGCCUUAAUAGCUUCAUGUCUUGGCAUGUCAAAAAACUUGUCAAUAAGAUUAAUUAUUCCAUCAUUUAUAGCACAGUAGAUUUUGAAGCUCUCCUUGAGGACCAGAGCAAGGGCAUAUUGUAUCACAUAAUUUCCAAGUGCUGCUCCCUCAGGCCGACAUCCAAUAAGACGAUACAACAACUGCUGCAAAGCAGGCAACUGCUCCAAAAGUUCCUCACUGGGCAACUCCCUAGUUCUGCUGUAUCCCUUUUCUUGCCCUUGCGCAGGUUUAGGAAGGCGCUCUCCUUCAAUAUCAUACUUCAGAACCCUAAAGCAUUCAAGUCGUUCCUCCAGAAAGAGUGCAUAUGUUCGUACCCAGGCAGAGCAGUCCCAAGCAAUUGGACUUGAAUCAUCCUUGAAAUUGGACAUUUGGAGAACGUGUCCUCUCUGUUGGAAAUUCAAUAGUUCCUCUCUAAAUGUCGGAUCACCUUCCCUCAAUGUUCUGUGGAUUACUAUCAAUGUCUUCAGCGCUACCGUCCAAUUAUGUGUCUUCGCCAAUCGCCUUGCAAGUGCAUGUAUGCAGUAUGCAACAUCAGCACGAGGUCGCAUCGCUGAUGUAAAAACCAAAAGUUUUCUAAGAUGUCUGUCUUUUGGUGGGCACUCAACAUGAUUGGUAGCUUUAACGAUCGCCACAUCCACAUCCUUGAAAUCGCUAUUAACAUGGGCAAGGCCAACAGUUGUAUGGUCUUUAAGAGCUCCAUACGCUUUCCUCCAAGUUUGAAGCGUACCCAUUUCUUCUUCUUCUCCUUGAAAAUCGGUGAUUUCUUCAGACCCUUCUUUCCCCUUGAUACUCUCUCUCUCUCCUCUCUCUCUC